CUUGCACAGCGGAAGGCGGUGGUAAGAUGGCGGGCGUUUAAUUCUGCCUCGUAGAGUCGUUUCCGGAGAGGAUGCUGAAGAAAAUGGAGAUUGACAAAGCAGAUGACUUGAAGAUUCAAUCCUUAGUUUUGCAUGGAAUCCAAAAAAAAGUUCCUGAAUCUUGCAAAGAUUUAUGAAAUUAGGCAAAAGAAGGAUGAGAGUCCUGGGGAUUUUUUCAAAGGAUAUACCAGGCUUUCAGACAAUAUACCGAUUUAGAUCCUGAAGUUCCAGACAAUUCGAAAAUGAUAAGACAUGAUUUUUAUAGGGCAAUCAGCAGUAGAUAUUAGAAGAAAGUUAACAGAAGGUAGGUCUGAGGAAAGCUAUUUCAGAGUUGGCUGAGUUAGCUUAACAGAGGGCAGGAAGAAAAUAAAGAAAGAAAUCCAGAAGGCUCGUUGAAAUGCUAUCUUCCUAGCAGAUGCCUUUAGACAGGAAUAGGGAGCAACAAUUCAGAAGAGGCAGAUGAGAGGGAGUUCAGGGAAUCCGAAGUAGGACACCCCACUCCACCUCUAGUAGAGGACGUGGAAGAAGAAAGGUCUUGGGGCCCAAUCAGUGUGCUGUAUGCAGAAAUGAAGGACAUAGGAAGAGUGAAUGCCUGAUGGCUGAAUGCCAUGUGAGCAGAAGAAAAAAAAUUAAGAAAAUAAAUGUUUAAAGAUAAAUCAACUAAAUGUUGGAAAUGUCACAGACACCGGGAUUGUAUUAUCAUAUGUGGUGGACAUGUGCAGAAGCGAGAAACUACUGGGCAAGAAUUUGGAUAUGGUUAGAGAAAAUGACCCAGCAACAUAUUGUUUUAAAACUGGAGCUGUUUUUAUUGGGUAUUUUAUCUGAGAAAUAUAGUAAAGGACCUGUAUAUUUGACAUGUAUAUUAUUCAUGUAAUAACAGCAGCAAGAAUUGUAUUUGCACAAAAUUGGAAAGCAGAAAAAAUCCCUACAGAGGGUGAGAUAAUUAAGAAAAUAUUAGAAUGUGCAGAAAUGAAUAGAUUAACAUUGGCAAUUAAAGGGGAAGAAUCGGAGUAUUAUAACACAUGGGAGCAAUUUUAUCAUUAGAUAGAAAAUGAAUAUGGACAAAAAGUGGUAUAAAAUUAAAUAAAUCUGGAAGAAAAAUGUUUUUAACAGGAGGUAUAUUAAACUGAAAUGUAAAAGCAAAGAAAUAUAUAUAUUAAGAAAAUGAUGGUAAGCAUUAAAUAUGAUACAAAAAUUUGUAUCCCAAUGACACACUGAUUGAUUAAUGAUGUAAUGUUUGUUUUAAAAGAAAAAAUAAAAAACUUUUUAUAAAAAAAAUACAAAAAGAUCUGGAUAAUUGGGCAAAGUUACAACUAUCACUAAUUAGAAGAAUUGCUACAAUCAAAAUGAACGUAUUACCGAAAAUUUUAUUCCUCUUCCAAACCUUUCUGAUCAAAUUAGGAAGGAAAUUCUUUCAAGAAUUAAACAAAGUAAUAUUAAAAUUUAUUUGGUUAGGGAAGAAGUCCUGAAUAAAAUUAGAAUUCCAACAGGACAGUAGAAACAAGGGAGGCAUUGGACUCCCGGAUUGGGAAUUCUACUACCAUGCAGCAACCAUGACAUGGCUAAAAAAUUGGAUUAAUCUAAAAAAACAAAAGUAUACUGACUAUAGUGGGCCAUGACCUGCAACUCGGCUGGCAUGCAUUCAUUUGGGAAGGAAAAAACAAAUCACACUCAUACUUCCAGAGACAUCAAGUAAGGGAUGCCCUGCUAUACAUUUGGGAGAAAAUUAAGAAAAACCAUUAUAUUAAAAAUUCACUCUGGCUAUCGAUGGAGGCAAUCAGUCUAUAUGCCAACCAUCCUCCUGGUUUAUUUGCAUUUUCAUCUGAGCUUCAACAGAGCUGCGGAACGUGCCAAUGCCAUGGUAGAGCAGUACAUAAAAUGCUAUGUGGAUUACCAACAAGAAAACUGGGCAGAUCUGCUGCCUUUUGUGGAAGUGGCUUACAACAAUACAGUGCAUAGCAGCAACGAACUAACCCCCUUUCAAGUCACUAGCGGCAUGGAAUUUGUUCCCAUGCCCGAGUUGCCGAGAGAGCCGCCCUCCUCCAUGACUCUAGCCGAAUGGAUGGAGUUGCUCAAGAGAGUUUGGGAAAACACCAAGAAAGCACUAGCGGAGGCAGCGGGAGCAUAUAAGAAACAAGCAGAUAAACGGCGAUCUCUUCAACCUCCCUUUCGCAUGGGAGGUUGCUUUUACCUGUCCACCAAAUAAGUUAAAUUGAAAUUGCCCAGCAGGAAGCUAAGACCUAAGUUCUUAGGACCAUUUUCAAUAGUGAAAGUAAUUAACCCAGUAACAAUUCAACUUAACCUCCCAUGCCUAUUAGGGAAAGUGCAUCCAGUUUUCCAUAGCUGCUUGCUGAAACCUGCUGUUCAAGACUGAGACCACAGGACUGCCCAGUGCCUAAACCGAUGGUAGUGAAAGGGGAAACUCCUUAUGAGGUUAAGAAAAUUUUGGACUCCAAAUUGCAUAGGGGUCGUUUGCAAUAUUUAGUC